rnacentral:lncRNA from 1 species
GACAGCUCAAAGACCAAGAUUCCUCUGUGUUUGAGUUUAAUUAUUCACAUUCGAGGACGAAUGUUCCCAAGGGGAGAUAAUGUAAUACCCCAUAUUUUCAUGCUAGAAUUCGAACUAUUGUUUCUACGUGUCUAAACUCUAAUCCAAGUGACUCUCAUGUGAAUAUAGUUUUCAUGAUCAUUAUCCUAGUCUAUGAAGUAGCUUUGAGGUGAAAAAUGUUCAUAGCAAUGACUUAGAACAAAGUUGAGCUAAGA